rnacentral:rRNA from 1 species
GACGAAGGUGGCGAGCGUUGUUCGGAAUCACUGGGCGUAAAGGGCGCGUAGGCGGCUCAUGAAGGCUGUGGUGAAAGUCCGGGGCUCAACCUCGGAUCGGCCGUGGCGACUCGUGGGCUGGAGCACUGUAGAGGCGGGUGGAAUUCCGGGUGUAGCGGUGGAAUGCGUAGAGAUCCGGAAGAACACCAGUGGCGAAGGCGGCCCGCUGGGCAGUGGCUGACGCUGAGGCGCGACAGCGUGGGGAGCAAACAGG